GACGUAGGGCGCAAGCGUUGUCCGGAAUGACUGGGCGUAAAGGGCGCGUAGGCGGUUUGUACAGUCAGAUGUGAAAUUCCUGGGCUCAACCUGGGGGCUGCAUUUGAUACGUGCGGACUGGAGUGGGGAAGAGGGUCGUGGAAUUCCCAGUGUAGAGGUGAAAUUCGUAGAUAUUGGGAAGAACACCGGUGGCGAAGGCGGCGACCUGGUCCUUGACUGACGCUGAGGCGCGAAAGCGUGGGGAGCAAACAGG
rnacentral:rRNA from 1 species